rnacentral:rRNA from 1 species
CAUGCAAGUCGAACGGAGUUCUUAAGGAAUGCGACUUCGGUCAAAUGACUUUUGAACUUAGUGGCGGACGGGUGAGUAACGCGUGAGCAACCUGCCUUUCAGAGGGGGAUAACAUUUGGAAACAGAUGCUAAUACCGCAUAAGAUUACAGUACCGCAUGAUACAGUGAUCAAAGGAGCAAUCCGCUGAAAGAUGGGCUCGCGUCCGAUUAGAUAGUUGGUGAGGUAACGGCUCACCAAGUCGACGAUCGGUAGCCGGACUGAGAGGUUGAACGGCCACAUUGGGACUGAGACACGGCCCAGACUCCUACGGGAGGCAGCAGUGGGGAAUAUUGCACAAUGGGCGAAAGCCUGAUGCAGCAACGCCGCGUGAGGGAAGACGGUUUUCGGAUUGUAAACCUCUGUUUUCGGUGACGAACAAAUGACGGUAACCGAGUAGGAAGCCACGGCUAACUACGUGCCAGCAGCCGCGGUAAUACGUAGGUGGCAAGCGUUAUCCGGAAUUACUGGGUGUAAAGGGAGCGCAGGCGGGAUAGCAAGUCAGCUGUGAAAACUAUGGGCUCAACCCAUAAACUGCAGUUGAAACUGUUAUUCUUGAGUGGAGUAGAGGCAAGCGGAAUUCCGAGUGUAGCGGUGAAAUGCGUAGAUAUUCGGAGGAACACCAGUGGCGAAGGCGGCUUGCUGGGCUCUAACUGACGCUGAGGCUCGAAAGUGUGGGGAGCAAACAGGAUUAGAUACCCUGGUAGUCCACACUGUAAACGAUGAUUGCUAGGUGUGGGGG